rnacentral:rRNA from 1 species
AAUGCGCGAAAGCGUGAACAUGCGACGCCGCGUGGAGGAUGAAGGCCCUCGGGUUGUAAACUCCUGUAGUCAGGGAGCAAUCGUCGGUGGGUGAAUACCCCAUCGGCCUGAUCGUACCUGAACAGUAAGCCACGGCUAACUCUGUGCCAGCAGCCGCGGUAAUACAGAGGUGGCAAGCGUUGUUCGGAUUUACUGGGCGUAAAGGGUGCGUAGGCGGUUGCGUGUGUCGGAUGUGAAAUCUCACUGUUCAUCGGUGAAACUGCAUUCGAAACUACGUAACUCGAGUACUGGAGAGGAGAGCGGAAAUUCUUGGUGUAGCGGUGAAAUGCGUUGAGAUCAAGAAGAACGCCGGUGGCGAAGGCGGCUCUCUGGACAGAAACUGACGCUGAGGCACGAAAGCUAGGGGAGCAAACAGGAUUAGAUACCCUGGUAGUCCUAGCCGUAAACGUUGUGCACUUGGUGUGGGAGGAGUUUACCCCUUCCGUGCCGUAGCUAACGUGUUAAGUGCACCGCCUGGGGAGUACGGCCGCAAGGCUAAAACUCAAAGAAAUUGACGGGGGCCCGCACAAGCGGUGGAGCAUGUGGCUUAAUUCGAUGCAACGCGAAGAGCCUUACCUGGGCUUGACAUGGCGAGACUUCGGUCUAAACCGGUGAAAGUCGGUUGAACGCACACAGGUGCUGCAUGGCUGUCGUCAGCUCGUGCCGUGAGGUGUUGGGUUAAGUCCCGCAACGAGCGCAACCCUUGUGGGUAGUUGCCACCCCCGUUCUGCGGGGAGCACUCUACUCAGACUGCCCGUGACAAGCGGGAGGAAGGUGGGGAUGACGUCAAGUCCGUAUGGCCCUUAUGCCCAGGGCUGCACACGUGCUACAAUGGUCAGUACAGAAAGAUGCAAGACCGCGAGGUGGAGCAAAUCUCCAAAACCGGCCCCAGUUCGGAUUGCAGUCUGCAACUCGACUGCAUGAAGCCGGAAUCGCUAGUAACGGCGUAUCAGCUACGACGCCGUGAAUACGUUCCCGGGCUUUGUACACACCGCCCGUCACAUCAUGAAAGCCGAUUGAACCCGAAGUCGUCGAUUCAAC